rnacentral:lncRNA from 13 species
AGAAAGCCAGUUAAAACGUCAUCAGGCAAACGGUACAUCGCUCUUCACUCUCAUGAACAAACAUCUUUUUGUUUCUUUUUGUCUUUUUUUAACUACCUUUUUGUUUUUUUGUCCACUUUUUUCCAGAAAUCCGUAAGAGGAGAAAAUCGCUCAGAAGGAAGUUUGACUCCUUCUCCAAAGAAAAGAAAGAGAAAGAGCGAGACAGAAGUUGGAAGAUCGGCUGUACCGACUUCAGACAAGUCCCAAGACGACUGGUGGGGGUCGUCGAGCAAAACGGAGAACAGCAUCGUGUUCGUGAGAGUCUCCUCCUUCCAUAAUAGUUUGUUGGCCAAACCAUUCGGGUGUGUAAAAGCACAUUUCACAAAAUAAAAGUUUGUGUAUACUGUGUUUACGUGUCUGUUUACCCUCCACUACAACCCUGGAUGGAUGGAUGGAUGGAUGCCAGUCGUGCUUGUUCCUUUAAGGCUCUUAUCUGUGAAGGUAGCACAGUGGGUAAAGUGGUAUGGGUAGCCUAAUCUGGAGGAAAUGCAUUUAGAUGGUUGUUAAUCGCAAUAACAUUAACACUCAGGUGUUUCUGCUAAUUGUCUUGUGUGUACUUUCUAUUGUUUAUUCAUGCUGACUGUAUCUGUCGCCUGACGGUAGUCAGAAAGUGUGCCGGAUCCUUCAAAAAAUGUAUCAUGGUAUUUUCCUGCCAUGGUAGUACAAUACUAUUGUACUAUCAUGUGUUUUUGGUUACUACCAUGGAAGGAAAAUACCAUGGUACUGUUGCAAAUACCAUGGUAUUUUCAACCCACGCUAGUGACCAAAACACCAUGAUAGUACCAUAGAAUUUUACUACCAUGGCAAGAAAAUACCAUGGCAUUUGCAGCAUUAAUAUUGUAUUUUCCUGCCAUUUUAGUGACCAAAAUACCAUGAUAAUACCAUUGUUUUAUCAAUGCGAGUUGUUAACAAUGCAUUCUCAUGAUGGUCAAUGUCCCACAGUAUUUUGGAUUAAGUGACCAAAAACAGAGUAAUUUAUACUCGCAUAAUGCAAUAUUGACUUUUUGCUCUGCAAUGACAAAGUGUAGGCUUACUCUGCUAAACCCCUUGAGCUCAUAAUGAAAAACCACAACACACAUGGUCUAGUAGUGUAGUGUGCCUCUUAAACCUUAGUCCGCUGGUCACUAUAUUGCUUAUUAGCACGCUAGACAGCUAGCUACAUGCUUGCUACUUGUAAUAGGCAUGUAAGCCUAUUAACUAGUUAGCCUGUUAGCUACUGUUGCUAGCCACUGGCCUGCAACCAAUCAGUGGCAUCUGCGGGAGGAUUUAGUCAGUUGAUGUACCUACAUACACGUGUCCGUGGCUUUCGUGUACCUUGAACCAGCUUCAAGGAAAGGAUAAGAAGAGGAGUGGGGGGUGAAGGGAAGAGAGAGGGGGUGGGGGAGAAAGAGAGAAGGAAGGUUUGAGAGACAGGGAGAGGUGGGGUGAGAGAGGAGGGAGGGAGAGGGUGAGAGAGCAAGAGAGAGAAUGAAGAAUGAAAAAGCGAGACAGAAACACCAUUCCCAUCCACAGUUAUGUGAGUAAUGUCUUACAGUAUAAAACAAAUUCUUGACAGCUGUGACCAAAACAGGAAGUUUCCGUACAAUUUUAGAAAUCCCGACAUGGUGGGGUCUUUUUGUGUCGGUAAAAUUUUGUAUGCUAGAAAUAGUGGUGGGAAAGCAUUUAUGCGCAAAUAUUGAUAUAAUAACCAUCAUACAGUGGUGGAAAAAGUACCCAAUUGUCAUACUUGAGUAAAAGUAAAGAUACCUUAAUACGAAAUGACUCAAAUAAAAGUGAAAGUCACCCAGUAAAACACAACUUGAGUAAAAGUAUAAAAGUAUUUGGUUUUAAAUAUGCUUAAGUAUCAAAAGUAAAUGUAAUUGUUAAAAUGUACUUAAGUAUCAAAAGUAAAAGUACAAGUACAGAUCAUUUUAAAUUCCUUAUAUUAAGCAAAGCAGAUGGCCACAUGUUGUAGUUUUAAUUAUUUAUUUUUUUCAGAGGCAGUAGGGAUGACGAGGGAUGUUCUCUUGAUAAGUGUGUGAAUUAGACCAUUUUCCGGUCUUGCUAAGCAUUCAAAAUGUAACGAGUACUUUUGGGUGUCAGGGAAAACGUAUGGAGUAAAAAGUACAUAAUUCUCUUUAGGAAUGUAGUGAAGUAAAAGUAAAAGUUGUCAAAAAUGUGAAUAGUAAAGUAAAUUACUGAUUCCCAAAAAAUUACUUAAUUAAGUAGUACUUUAAAGUAUUUUUACUUAAGUACUUUACACCACUGCCAUCAUAUCGAAGUAAACUUGGAGUAACGCAAUGACAUGAUUUGUGAUCCUCCCAUAACGAUUUAGGAAACCAUGCAGUUUAUUAGGCUACAGAUUAAAUAAAUUAUGAAGAACUUCACAGGGUGGUGAAAGUGCACAGUGAUGCGCUUGAUGCUCCUUUCAAAUAAAUGUUGAGGGUCUUAUUCUGGUGACAUGAUGAUCGAUGCUUGAUUACCGUUUGACAAAUAUCCAUAAGACUACCCGCAGACUGGACUACCCGCAGAGCCUACCCACAUUGUAUCUACGAGAUGUUAGCUAGAGAGCACGUGCCAAGACCAGAGUACACACAUUUGCUAUUAAAGCAACAGUUUUUGUGACAAAACAAUCGGUAGAGUUGAAAAUGCAAUGGAAACACAGUGAACAUUGUGCACUAUGCCAUCACACACUGAUUUUCAUCCACAACAAGUCAGGUUGGUGGAAACGUCACUGGUGGGAAAAUGUACGUUUUAUUUAUGCAGAUUUUUGAACAUUUGCAUGAAAACCUGACGCCAAUUGGGUGGGAACCUAGCAAGAGAGAGAAUAGUGGUAGAUAUAGAGCGAGGAGAGAGAGGAGGGUUUGAAAGAUAUAGAGAGAAAG